GCGCCCCCUUCCCUAAGCACAUGGUGAAUCCGCAAAUGUUGACGACAGAAGGAAUUUUAGCUUAGGACUCUCUUCGGACCCCCCCUCCCUCGACGGACCCCGAUGCCGCGGAUGACUGCUUUCUCUUCGGGAUUUCGCCUUCGGCAUACACAUGGCCUCGACAUGGACCCCCUUUUCCUGGAGGAGGACCGGCACUCGCGGAAGGACUCCUUUUCUGGCCGCCCUUCGACCCACACGUGAGUUCCUGCCGGUGCUUUUCACCUCUUUCAAGUGCUCACUAAC